rnacentral:lncRNA from 1 species
GUUCUUGGCAGUGGCCUACAACCACAUGGAAGCUGGCCAACCAGUUCUAACCAUGACCUGCUGACUGGCAGCUCAUCACCAUGUUCCAGAUUAGUUCAAUAACCACGCCAAGUAGCUCUAAGUUCCAGUCCUGCAACUCUCAGUCAGGCUCAAGAAAAGCUCCAAUGAGAUGGGACUUAAAAUAUGAUUAACACAUACGGGCCCAAGGAAACAGGGUGAAGAUGGUGCUGAGUAUUUGAAGGCCCAAGGUGGACCAGCUCCAUGAAGAUCGACAUGUGUAGGAGCCACCUUUUCACCUCACAUGAGGAAGAGACGUUCUAACCAUACAAGGUGUCCAAGGAACCCUUCUCUUUGGAAUCUGAUUGAAGCAAGAGCCCA